rnacentral:rRNA from 1 species
AGAUUGAACGCUAGCGGGAUGCUUUACACAUGCAAGUCGAACGGCAGCGCGGACUUCGGUCUGGCGGCGAGUGGCGAACGGGUGAGUAAUAUAUCGGAACGUGCCCAGUAGCGGGGGAUAACUACGCGAAAGCGUGGCUAAUACCGCAUACGCCCUACGGGGGAAAGGGGGGGAUUCUUCGGGACCUCUCACUAUUGGAGCGGCCGAUAUCAGAUUAGCUAGUUGGUGAGGUAAAGGCUCACCAAGGCGACGAUCUGUAGCUGGUUUGAGAGGACGACCAGCCACACUGGGACUGAGACACGGCCCAGACUCCUACGGGAGGCAGCAGGUGGGAAUUUGGACAAUGGGGGAAACCUGAUCCAGCCAUCCCGCGUGUGCGAUGGAAGGCCGUUCGGGUUGUAAA